CCAUAAUUUUCUAUGCUUGAACGGGAACAAAGUCUGUUUUUUUGACCCAAUUGUACCUCUACAGAGGCUAUAAAAUUAAGCAAACCUAUUGCUAUAUAUUAAAAAAAUACUUUAUAAAUAAAGAAAAAAAAUGAGUUCCACAAGUCAAUGAUAUGAUCCUUUAAAUUAUAUUUUUCACUCUCAUGACAAGAAUUCUUGUGUACUGGUUUGUAGUCAUUUUUG
rnacentral:lncRNA from 1 species